AGAGUUUGAUCCUGGCUCAGGAUAAACGCUGGCGGCGCACAUAAGACAUGCAAGUCGAACGAACUUAACUCAUUCUUUUAGUUUGAGAGCGGUUAGUGGCGGACUGGUGAGUAACACGUAAGCAACCUGCCUAUUAGAGGGGAAUAACAGUGAGAAAUCAUUGCUAAUACCGCAUAUGCUAACAGUAUCGCAUGAUACAGUUAGGAAAGGAGUAAUCCGCUAAUAGAUGGGCUUGCGCCUGAUUAGCUAGUUGGUGGGGCAAUGGCCUACCAAGGCGACGAUCAGUAGCCGGACUGAGAGGUUGAACGGCCACAUUGGGACUGAGAUACGGCCCAGACUCCUACGGGAGGCAGCAGUCGGGAAUAUUGCGCAAUGGAGGAAACUCUGACGCAGUGACGCCGCGUAUAGGAAGAAGGUUUUCGGAUUGUAAACUAUUGUCGUUAGGGAAGAUACAAGACAGUACCUAAGGAGGAAGCCCCGGCUAACUAUGUGCCAGCAGCCGCGGUAAUACAUAGGGGGCAAGCGUUAUCCGGAAUUAUUGGGUGUAAAGGGUGCGUAGACGGAGGAGCAAGUUGGUUGUGAAAUCCCUCGGCUUAACUGAGGAACUGCAACCAAAACUACUUCCCUUGAGUGUCGGAGAGGAAAGUGGAAUUCCUAGUGUAGCGGUGAAAUGCGUAGAUAUUAGGAGGAACACCAGUGGCGAAGGCGACUUUCUGGACGAUAACUGACGUUGAGGCACGAAAGUGUGGGGAGCAAACAGGAUUAGAUACCCUGGUAGUCCACACCGUAAACGAUGGAUA
rnacentral:rRNA from 1 species